GUGGGGAAUAUUGGGCAAUGGGGGCAACCCUGACCCAGCGACGCCGCGUGGGUGAAGAAAUCCCUCGGGAUGUAAAGCCCUGUUGUAUGGGAAGAGCAGAAGACGGUACCAUACGAGGAAGCCCCGGCAAACUACGUGCCAGCAGCCGCGGUAAUACGUAGGGGGCAAGCGUUGUCCGGAAUUACUGGGCGUAAAGCGCACGCAGGCUGAAUUAUAAGUCGGUAGUCAAAUACGGAGGCUCAACUUCCGGAUAUCUAUCGAUACUGUAAAUCUAGAGUAUGGGAGAGGGAAGCGGAAUUCCCGGUGUAGCGGUGAGAUGCGUAGAUAUCGGGAGGAACACCAGUGGCGAAGGCGGCUUCCUGGCACAAUACUGACGCUCAUGUGCGAAAGCUAGGGCAGCGAACGGGAUUAGAAACCCUGGUAGUCC
rnacentral:rRNA from 1 species